GAUCCUGGCUCAGGAUGAACGCUGGCGGCGUGCCUAACACAUGCAAGUCGAACGAAGCACCUUACUUGAUUCUUCGGAUGAAGGUCUGGUGACUGAGUGGCGGACGGGUGAGUAACGCGUGGGUAACCUGCCCUGUACAGGGGGAUAACAGCUGGAAACGGCUGCUAAUACCGCAUAAGCGCACGAGGAGACAUCUCCUUGUGUGAAAAACUCCGGUGGUACAGGAUGGGCCCGCGU
rnacentral:rRNA from 1 species